rnacentral:tRNA from 1 species
ACCCAGGUGGCGAAAUUGGUAGACGCAGGGGAUUCAAAAUCCCCCGCUGCAAGGCGUGUCGGUUCGAGUCCGACUACUUUGGGCACCA